rnacentral:SRP_RNA from 1 species
GCCAGGCGUGGUGGCGCAUGCCUGUAAUCCCAGCUACUUGGGAGGCUGAGGCAGGAGAAUCACUCGAACCUGGGAGGCUGAGGUUGCAGUGAGCUGAGAUCGUGCCACUGCAUUCUAGCCUGGGUGACAGAGUGAGACUCUGUGUCAA